AGUCACCAUGUGUGACUAAACUCUGCUCUUGGGCUGUCAGUGACAGGAAACAGCUUGGUAAAUGUCCCAUGAGACCCUUCUGAGAAUUCACCCAUCUAGAGGGAACUCCAGCUGAACCUGCUCUCCUACUCUUACCUGUCAAAGCCCAUCCUGCAUGAUCCAGAAGAACUGACUGGAUUUAGGGGGCAACAGGCCCCCAAACACUGUGGACCCAUAGGAAGAAACCUGAAGACUCUGUAAAGUGGCUAGUGAUGCUAGUUUCACAGCCCACUGAAGGAGAUACAUAGUUGGACACAGGUUUCCCGGGCCCAUAGGGAAAGUCAUGCCAGGCCUAGAGUUCACCCAAGUAUUUGCAGAGGAAGACAACACUGCCAGAAGUUUCUCAAACCUUUUGCUACUUAGCAUGCUUUCUCAGCUAGUGACACUGGCAGAGAUAUGAUUUUCAGAAUUAGGGGCUGGAGCAGUGGAGUCCUUCAGACAUGAAGUGAACUGACUCCCACUUUUGUCUUCAGUGGUGAAAUAAACAGGUUGCUUUGUAGUUUAGGGAACCCAGCAAGUACAGUCUGCAGACUGUAGUCACCCCUGAGGACGAACAGAUUAGUCCUUCCUCCAUUGGCCCUUGCUUCAGCCCACCAGUCUCACAUUUUUCUUAAACUGUUUCCAAUAUAAAGCUGUGAGAUUAGGUACCCUUCAUAUGGUCAUGCAUAUUGUCAGCACUAGGCCUUGUCCUGUAAAUUGUGUCACAUAACAUCAAUCCCCUGCAAAGGUACAGGGACUUGAGUGAAGGAUAGGGACACAUCUUGCAGGAAUAUAUAUGGAACAGGCUUGUCUUCAUCUUCCCAGGGAAAUCAAGGGAAGUGAGUACCAAGAACCAUUGUCAAGCAAUUAUUAUUUUCUCUUCUCUUAUGUCUCUGCCCAAGCUCUUGCUUUCAGCCAGGAUAUGAGAUUUUUACUCUGAAAACAUCUUCUAAUACCUAAAAUGAUACUCUGCUUGAAAACGAAGCAUUUUGUCUAUGGACAUUGCAUUGUUUAUUUUAAGCUUUUAAGUAUGUACCAUGUUCUACUCAGUUGAACAUUAGACGCUUUCAUGUUUGAUGGUGUUUGGACAGCUGAUAUUAAAAUUUGUAAUCCUCUGCAAAUUUUUAUCAAGAUGUCACUGGGAUAACAGAUGUAAUUGCUGAGCUGGGCACUGCAGCACCAAAUAUAAGCUGUACAGAGCUCAGAAAUGGUCUCCAGAGCGUUUCACUUGUCUUAUGAGUAUUGUAGAUCUAGCUGUGGUGCAGUACAACAUGUAUGAUCUUGAAGUCUUAAGGCUGGAGAUGUCUAUGUAACACAGAAUCAUAGAACGGCUUGGGUUGGACGGGAUUUUUAAAAGUCAUCUAGCCCAAUGUCCCUGCCUUGGGCAGUGACAUAUUUCCCUAGUUCAGGUUGCUCAAAGCCCCAUCUAACCUGACUUUGAACACUUCAAAUGAUGGGGCAUCCACAACUUCCCUGGGCAGCCUGUUCCAGUGCCUUACCACUCUCACUGUAAAAAUUGUCUUCCUCAUGUCCAGUCUAAAUGUACCCACUUUCAGUUUCAAACUGUUGUCCCUCUGUUCAGUCACUUCAGGCAUUGGUAAAAAGUCUCUCCCCAUCUUUCUUAUAUGCCAACUUUAAGUAUUGAAAGUCUGCAAUAAAGUGUCUCCAGAGUCUUCUCUUCUCCAGGCUGAAUAACCCCAACUUCCUCAGACUUAUUUUGUAGCAGAGGUGUUCGGAUUAUUUUUCUGGAUCUGCUCCAACAGGUCCAAGUCUUUCUUGCACUGUGGACCCCAAUGCUGGAUGCAGUACUCCAGGUGAGUAGAGAGCAGGGAGGCAGAAUCAAGUCCCUUGACCUACUGGCUACACUUCUUUUUCUGCAGUCCAGGAUAGGGUUGGCUUUCUGUCCUGCAAGUGCACAUUGCUGGCUCAUGUCCAAUUUUUCAUCUACCAGUACCCUCAAGUCCUUCUCUAGAGGGCAGCUCUCUAUCAAUUUUAUUGCUCUGAUCCAGGUCUAGGACCUUGCACUUGGCCCUGUUGAACUAUGAGGUUCACAUAAGCUCAUUCAUCAAGCCUGUGAAGGUCCACCUGGUUGGCAUUUCUUCCCUCAAACAAAUCAACUGCACUACUUCGCUUGGUGUCAUCUGCAUCUUGUUGAGGGUACACUCAAUUCCACUAUGUCAUUCAUGAAGAUAUUAAAUAAUAUUGGUCCCAGUAAGGACCUGUGGGAACAGCAGUUCCAGCUAAAGGGCCUUGGACAGAUUAUACAGAAAUAUGUUUUUUAUGAGUGUAAAAAGUGAUAUCCCAGGCCAGUGAGAAUGAUAUCUGAAGUCAGAAAACCGCCCUCAUAUGUAUGGUGUGUGAAUGUCCUUGGGCCUGGUCUGUGAAUGAGUGGGAACGUACCUGAAACAAACAUAACAUAAGUGUGGUGUGUUUUUAAUAACAAUUAUUGAAAAAACAUCUUAUGCAACAUCUUAGUCCAGGCCUGUAUCUGUAAAUCCUAUAAAUUGCCAAUGGCUAAUAAAGGCCUCAGCCUAGCUUAGCUCUCUGCUUUGCUUGGCUCGGCACUCCUUCCUAAACAAGAUCUCUGUCUGUGCGUGCAUCUCUGUCUGCGUCACGGUGCGCGUCGUUUCUAGUCACCACAGGGACCCUUGAAGGAUACCACUUGUUACUGGUUUCCACUUGAACACUGAGCAACUGACUGACUGCAACUCUUUGGACGUAGCCAUCCAGCCAAUUCCUUAUCCAUCUAACAGUCCAUCCAUCAAACCCUUAUCUCUCUAAAUUAGUGUCAAGAAUGUUGUGGGGGACUGUGUCAAAGGCCUUACAAAAGUCCAGGUAGAUGACACCCAUAGCUCUUCCUUUGUCCACUGAUUAUAGAAAGCCACCAGGUUAGUCAGGAAUUACUUACCCUUGGUGAAGCCAUGAUGGCUGUCUCCAAUCACAUCUCUGUCUUCCAUAUGUUUCCAUGUAUCUUCCAGGAGAAUCUGUUCCAGGCACGGAGGUGAGUCUGGCAGGUUGGUAGUUCCCAGGAUCCUCCUUUUUACCCUUUUUUUUUAAAAAAGAGGUGUGAUGUUUCCUUUUUUCCAGCCACUAGAGGCUACUAUGUUUAUAAACAAGUAAUCAAAUGAAACCUAAUGUAAUACCAAGAGAUAUAAAUCCAGUCACUAGCUUAAAUGAGUGUACUUUAAAUCAGUCUAUAGAAUUCUUCAGUUAUUUUCACAGUUCUUUAGAUCUGGGCUAAAACUCCUAAAUGCUGGAGCACCAUUUUCCAUAAAAUAGUCAAGGGAAAAUGAAAGCUACAAUAAAUCUAUCAAAAAAAAAAGCUGAUAAUUUUCAACAGACUUAAAACUUUGCUGGUGGGACAACUGAAGAGAUUAUAAAAACUAAUAGGGUGCUACUGAGAGUGGACAAUCUAAGCUGUUCCAGGUAAGGACUCAUUUCCCCAGCAGGGUUUUGGGGUGGUAUUUACUGCUCAAGUGCAUCACCUGCUGUGUUCUGUGACUAGUGCAAUAACAGAUCCUGCUGGACUCUACUAUAAACACUUCCAAUCAAUCAACACUGGCAUCUUCCUGUAGCUUUGCUAUUAAAAAGUAGAGGGAGUUUUUAAAGCAAAGGCCAUUCAUGUAAUUAAAAUGAUACUAAUAAUUUGCAAAUUAACAGUUUAAGGCAAGUUACUAAAAACCUUAUUUUCUUUCAAAAGUUUGGGAUAAUAGGAUGCUACUAAUUGAUUUUUUAAUGCUUCCCAGGUUAGUUUGCAGAAGCUGGCCUUGUUUACUGGUGUGUAUUAUCAAUACAUUGGCAAUGCAAGCAAGGUAGGAAAACACAUGUAUUAAAUGGUUCUUGUUGCUUUGCAUCAGUGAAUUCAUCUGCAUGUAGGAAAAAAUAUUCUAAACAUCAGCAUCAGCGGUGUGUACUAGGGACCAGGAAUAACUAAAAGUAAUAAGUAACUUGUUCAAAAUGUUAUGUCAACAACACCCUCUCAAGUUCACAAACAGUGAUGUGACAGACUGUUUCUGGCCCAAAAUACUCAUGGAAGAUGGGGUGUGAAAGAUCUAGAUAAAACUGAGAAUACUAUUUUGUUAUUGUUGCUGUUUAUUUGUUUUUGGCUUUUUUUUUUUUUUUUAACUGUAAGAAUUUGUGCUGAAAGGCCUGUAGCCCUCAUUCUCUUGGUAGAAAAAAAGCAUUUCUAUGUGAGAAGUCUGACCAAUCAUGAAAAACACAGUGCUGCUGAAAUGUAUCUGCAUAAUUAUAUAUGAAAUUUGCAUAUAUUGCAUCUCCAAAAUGUGAACAAUGAAGGAUGUCACAGCCAGCUUGUGCUUUUGAAUAUGCUACAAGAACUAACGAAUUAUUGUGUGUGAAUUAUCUGCUUGGUUACAAAUUCCAAUCUCAAUCACGUUUCUUUUUUUUACAUUUUGCCUUAAGUACAGAUGAUGACAUAGAUAAGUUUUUCUUGCUCUUCUGGCCACUCUUAGCUGACAGUUCGAACCAUCACUAAAUGGUGUAGCAAAAGACGGCAGCAGCAGCUGAGGAUGUUUGAGGAUGAAUCAUCUGAAUGUUUCAACUAACUCCGAAUUGACUCCAUGCUGAAGUUUCUCAUGCUGAUAGGUUUGACAUUUUUCUAUAAAAUUCUCUUUAGGCUCUGGCUCAUAGUAGGAAGGAGAUGGCAUAAUCAGUGAACUCCACUUAAAGGAGGGAACAUCCCAAACUAUUUUUUUUCUUAUUAAGGGAAAAAGAAAAAUUAAGCAAGCAACAAGAACUACAUGAAUAUCUUAUGGUAAUCAGAAAAUGACCCAGCCAAAAGUCAGCUAAGAUACAUAAUAGUCACUGUCAGUUAGCAACAAAUACAAAAAUGCAGAAAGAGUGGUAGGCAAUGGUGACAUCCAAAAGGUUGUUGAUUAAAAACCACAAUGCAAAAAGGGGAAAGCAAGACUAUGCUGAAGUAAAAAAAUAAAUUAAUAUUUAUUGCCUUAAAAGAAUUGCAACUCUGGAAGGUUAAUGUUGUUGCAUUGUCCUAGCACUGAACUUGAACCUGCAAGAAUACAGGAUGUGUCCACAACAUGUCAACAUGAGCUAGAUUACGUAACCCUUCUGCUAGCAAAAUUUCAAAAUUAGGUUCUAAUUUCAAAAAGCUAUUUUUAUUUUUCUUUCCCUCCAGUUAUACUUUUAAACUACCUUACCUUGUAUAUGCCUGGUCUGUAUAUCCAGCUAUUACCCUUUUUGUGUGAUAAAGGACUGAGAAAAUUCUGAAGGAAUGAUUCUGUUUGAAUUGAGUUACAAAGCAUGUGCAUCUCUGAGAGAUGGGUGGAAAACUGAGAUUACAAAAUGAAGACAGGUGCAAGUUUACCACUGAAGAAUUAACAACUCCAGUAACAGCUAAGAGUGUGUCCAUAUUCAACCUUAAUUCAAAGGCAAACUUUAAGCAAAAAAUUGUUUUCUACUUUUAAGGUUGAAACUAGUGUGCAAGUACUAUGUACAAACCUGACCUUUCACAAAGCAAAGAACCAGCUUACUUCAGGUUUUGGGGAAUGCAUGCGGGCUAAAGAGCACUUGUUUACCAAAUCCUCAGGUAUGCCCAAAACCUCAUGUGUAGUUGAAAGAGAAUAACCAUUUACAUUUUCUUGUUUUGCUAUCUGUUUAAUGUGUGGCUUCUCCACUGAUCACUGAAACAAUUAGUAAUGUUUCCAUUAACUUCAAUUAGCUUUGGGAGUGUAUUGUGCAUAUCAAUUAGCUCUGGUAGCAUAUUGUGUAAAACUGUAGGUUUUCCUUUCGGUUUACCAAAUGGUGAUAUAUAUAUAUCAUCCCACUGGGGCUAUAUAACUAGACUUUUCCAAUAAUAAAAUAAUAGCAAUACUUAUAAUUAAGACACUCACACCUAGUGAUUUCUAGUGCUUAAAAGACAAGUCUAGAUCAGCCAUCCCAGAAAACAGCACAAACCAGUAACAUAGAAUUGACCUCUAGCAAAUCUUAACAGAAAAAACAGGAUUUCUUCAUUAAAUAUCUAUUUCUUGCUGUUAUUUCAGUUCCGUUUUGUAAAUUAAUCUGCUCAGCAAAACCCCUAGAAUUUGAAGGUACAAUUUACACAGGAGAAAACCCAGAUUCUCCCCUUGCACUGUCCACGGUGUCACUCAAAAAUUAGUCAUCUGGCUUACUUUGUAGAUCUGGCAACACAAGAUUUCCCCCCACUUUAAUCUGCUUUUUAUCCUUAUUUUCACACUAUUCACUUCUUAUUUAGCCGAUGUUCCGUAGGCGAAACUUUUAUGCUAACCCAACACCUAAAGUUGAAUUGGUAGCUAAUGCGUAUCAGAAGGGUCUCUUUCACUAUAUGUAUCGUAGAGUUGUUAAUUAAAUAUUGAUUCUCCUGACACUUUCCUGCAUUUUAUCCUCCACAAUUUCAGGGUUGUUAUUUAUUCAUUUGUGUUGACAAUCUUCUCCUUUUUUUUCAUUGAUCUUUGAUAAAUGCUAUCACAGAACGAGAAGCGUAAAUGGGGUAAGGAGAGGAUAAGGGGAACAUUUACCACAGUGAGCAACUCAGCUAGAGAAGACUUUAAACAAUUUGGGUCAUCUUUACCAACCUCUACCUGUACAUCCUCUAUCUAUAAAACUCUGUAUCUGCAAAUGCAAGUUGGUAAAUACAUUCUUAUGCUCCUUUAAGUAAUUAUAUUAAGUACAUAUUGAGACACUCUUCACAGCUUAGCAGACUUGAUAGUUGCCUUUGAAAAUUUGUCCCUGUGUAUUUAUUUAUCUUCAAAGGAAAACAUAAAGAUUUGAAUGAGAGUAUCUAGAACAUGUCCAUCACCCAGUAAACAUACUCAGCAAUUUACUCAAAACAAUAAUUUCAGCUAUUUUUAUUUUGUCAACAUAUAUGCAUUGUGUGAGAUGUACAUCCAUGCAGUGAAGUUGCCUUACUGACAAAAGGCUUUCUGCUUUUAGCUACAUUUUGCAGACCUUUCAGAGGUAGUGAGUGGCUCCCAAGAAUUUGUAGUUUACAGAUUGAAAAACCUUUCAUAAAAUUUAUUUCUUCAGACUCAGGGAACAAACGUUGUUGUUUUUUUUUUUUUUUCCAAUAAUACAAUGGCAAAGUAAUAAAGUACUCUGAAAUAAUUGACUAGCUAAUUCCCUCCCUCCUCUUUUUUUUUAAUAGGCUUUUUUUCUAGAAGGAACUGCUCCUACCUUUUGAUUAGGCUGCUUGAAAUCACUCUGAUUGGAAAAGCUAAUUGAACAUGACUCAGUGGUGAGUCAGACCCAAUAGGAGUCAAUGAUGAGACACACUUGCCAGAAAAGAAAAAAUCAAAUUCUGGGAAGUAUUAAUAGUAGUGUCAUCUGUGAGACAUUGGAGAUAAUUAUUCUGCUCUGUUUGGUUUGGGUGAGGAUGCAGGUGAUGGUAGUCUGCCUGGUUUGGACAUCUUACUUAAUGGAUGAUAACAAAUUGAAGAGAGCUUGGAAGAAACAGUCAAAUGAAAUAAGAGGCUUAAGAAGUAUUAUCUGUUAGGAAAAGUGACUAUAAGAUUAUUAUCUUAGUUUUGUAAGUCACUUUGAUCAUCACUUGUUCAUGGAUGAGAUGAGAAGUAAGCAGCUUACAUCACAGCAGUGGCUGUGCCCACUUGCCCAAAGGGUGAUUAUUUGUCCCAGGGAGGAAUCCCUGGCUCCCCCCUGCAUGGUGCAGGCCUUGAAGCAGAUCCUGGCUCAGCUCCUGUCCCACUGCACGUUGAACCUACUCACUUCCAUACCUCUGUAGCACACCCUUCAGCUCUCUCCUUGCUUAUUAUGGUUCUGGCCCUCAGUGUGGCUUCCUGCCAUAGCCUGGCAGCAAUGGAUCCUCUUCAGGUGUCUGUGUGAAAGGAAAAAUCUGACAUGUCAGUCCCUAGCUUUAUCAUGCAUCUGCUCUGUUGUUCCCUCCCAGGCAUACCUGCAUUCUCAAGCAAAAAUGUACAGGUGUGUUUGAAAGAAUCUGGACAAGACUCAUUCUCAAGAGUGUAACCAAAGAAAAACUCCAAACAGGAUAAACUCCUAUGUAUUCAUGAGAAUCCCACAGACUGGGGGAGACAGCCGUGUCCUAGGACCACCUCUGUGCCUCCCUGGACAGGAAGACAUGCAAAGACAAGUCAUGCAAAGCAGUGAGGCAGAUGAGGAUUUACUAUGUGCAUGGUAGGUGUCCCAGACUUGUAUUUCUUUGCUGUGCCUUGCUUGGAAUAAGUGGACUGAAAUAUUUGGGUGCUCUAGUGAAAAUGGAAAACACCUUCAAAAAGAUUGUCAAAGACCUGUACACCACACCACCAGGACACACCAUGCUCUUACUCAUCGAGAUGCAGCAGUGAUCAAUCACAAUGCAUUUGCAAUGCAUCUCUGCUCAUUACAGGCUUCCUCCAACACAUCCUCCUUGGACUACUUUUGAGGAUGAUGAAAAGUAACCUUGCCUAUGCUGAGCCACAGAAAUACUGCUUCAGUGUGUAUUGGGUUUUUGUGGCAAGGUUUUGGUAGCAGAGGAGUUACAGGGGAGGUUUCUAUGAGAAGCUGCUAGAAGCUUUCCCUCAUGUCUGAUAGAGUCAAUCCCAGCCAAGUGCAAGAUGGACCCAUUGCUGGCCAAGGCUGAACCUAUCAGUGAUGGUGGUAAUGUCUAUGGGAUAACUUAUUUAAGAGCAAGAACCUGCUGUGCAACAGCAGCAGGAAGAGGCGGAGGAAUGUGAGAGGAACAGCUUUGCAGACCUCAAGGUCAGGAGGAGGAGAUGCUGCAGGUGUCACCUGCCACCAUUACCUGCCAGAGGAAGAAGUGCAAGCGCAGCUUCCAUUUUCCCUGCGGCCAUGAAAAUGGAUGUGUCUCCCAGUUCUUUGGGCAGUACAGGUAAGGGCUGACGGUCGUCAUGCUGGGCCUCUUCUGCCUCCUUCCCCCUCCUGCCAGCAAUGGCCAAGCAGGUGAGUGUUGUGCCCCACAGCGAUUCCUCCAAGGGUCCUCCUGGAGCCAGGGACAGCCUUCAGCCUCCACACUCCUUUGGGUAGCCUUGUCCAGAACCAAGGACUCAGCACUCCCUGACCUUGCCCGGCUCUUCUGUCUCCCACCCAGGUCCUUCUGCCAGGAGCACAGGCCAGCGCAAACAGUGCAGGCAUGCCAGGACGGCCAAACGUCCUGCGUCAUUUGCCUGGAGCACGUGGAGGAGCAGCUGUCCUACCAGACUAUGGUGUGCCUCAACUGCAGGCAGGCCUGGUUCCAUCGGGGCUGCAUCCAGCAAGAGGCUUUCCACGCUGGGCUGCUUUGCUUCCGGUGCCCCCAGUGUAAUGACAGGGAGAAAUUCCUGCCAGAAAUGUCUUUCCUGGGGAUCCAAGUCCCCAGCAGACAACCUGCCUGGGAGGCUGGUGCUGGCUUUACAGAUAUGUACCAGAGGCACAGCCGCUGUGACGCCAGCCUGUGCCUCUGUGCUCAAGGCAGGGAGCAGGCAGAAGAAGAGGGGUAAGUCACCAAAACAGCAAUUUCCCUGCUGGAAUUCUUGGCAGCAGAUGCCUUCGCCUCAGCCUCUCCAGAUCCCUCUGUUAGGCUAUGCCAGAAAAGCUCAUCUGCACACAUCCAGAAUGUGUACGUAGUGUCUGCUCCUUACGCCUGUCUGACCAUGCCCUGACCGCCACUCCUGACUAGUGCAGUCACUCCUGUUGCUGGGCUCAGUCAUACACUUGAAGCCCACUUGCGCACAUAGAGAGGAACAGAGAGAGACGGUGGUGGCAUCUGGGGGGACUUCAAAGCAUCCCUUGCCCCAGCUACGCAUGGAAGGCCCAUCCCAGAAGACAUGAGCGCAUCAGAGGCCCAGAUCCUUAAGCCCAGCUCUGCGGAGAGGCCCAAGGCAGGCAGAAACCCAAAGGAACUUCUCAGAAGAAGGAAAAACCUGUCCAGACCCCUCCCAGGGCUGUCCCAGCAGAGCCAUCAUACGCAUUGUUCAGGAAUGAAACCCACUGAGAUGAGUCAACACUCUGUUUGUGGGACAUCUCUUAGUGUAUGUUCCAUGAUUUGUGUGUCCAAGCACACGUACGUGUAUAUAUGGGGUGUACAGGUGUGUGUGCCAGUCCUAGCAGCUGUGACCACCAGCCUGGUUUCUUUCCCAGGCCGUGGUACUUGCUGCUGUGCUCCUCCUGUGCUGCCAAAGGCACCCACCGAUGCUGCUCCGCUUGAAUAACAGCGCAGCCACGUGGGAGUGUGAGGACUGCGCUGGCGUGAGCGCCGCCUCCAGCAGGCAGCCCGAGACAGCUGGACCCAGCACCGCUGGCCAGGCAGCAUCAUCCCGCAGCUCCCCGGCUCCCGAGACAAGCAGCCGGCCAGUGCAGACAGGGCCGGAGUGAAGGGCGGGCCGCUCGCGGAUGAAGAGCAGGGCCAAAAAGCCUUACAGCCGGCCCUGAGGAGCCGGCACUGAGGAGCCAGCGCUUCCACCGCCUGCUGGGCUCCUGCUGGGCAGCUCUGCAGGACGGGCCUCGGGGCAGCUCCCGGGGAUGGCAGAGGCACCCAGGCCCUGCUGGAGAAAGUCCCAUUGGUCCUGCUGUGUGCACCUACCAUGUGCACAGGCCACCCACCCUGUGAGCCCCAGCGAGGGGAAUUUGGUCUUAGCUAAGUUUUGGGGAUUUUCUAGAAGAUUUGAAUGCUGCAAUGAGCAAUUCAGCAUUUAGUCAUAUAAAUAUAACUUGUGAAAUAAAAGGCUUUGUUUGUCUAAACAAUGAGUGUUUUCUAGUGGUGUAUUACACAAAAC